UUAUUCCUACGGGAGGCAGCAGUAGGGAAUUUUCGUCAAUGGGCGCAAGCCUGAACGAGCAAUGCCGCGUGAACGAGGAAGGUCUUCGGAUCGUAAAGUUCUGUUGAAGGGGAAAAAGAGCGGAGAGAGGAAAUGGUCUCCGAUUGAUAUUACCCUUCGAGGAAGUCACGGCUAACUACGUGCCAGCAGCCGCGGUAAUACGUAGGUGGCGAGCGUUAUCGGGAAUGAUUGGGCGUAAAGGGUGCGUAGGGGGCCUGCUAAGUCUGGAGUGAAAGUUACCGGCUCAA
rnacentral:rRNA from 1 species